AUGGCGCGCUGGGCCAUUGCCAUCCACGGCGGCGCGGGCGUGGACCCGAACCUGCCGGUCCACAGGCAGGAGGAGGCGGAGCGGGUGCUGGCGCGGUGCCUGCAGGUUGGCGUGGACAUGCUCCGGUCCGGCGCCGCCGCGCUGGACGUCGUGGAGGCCGUGGUGCGCGAGCUCGAGACGGACCCCUGCUUCAACUCCGGCCGCGGCUCCGCGCUCACCCGCGCCGGCACCGUCGAGAUGGAGGCCAGCAUCAUGGACGGCCACGGCCGCCGCUGCGGCGCCGUGUCGGGCGUCUCCACCGUCCGCAACCCCGUCUCCCUCGCCCGCCGUGUCAUGGACAAGUCCCCCCACUCCUACCUCGCCUUCGACGGCGCCGAGGAUUUCGCCCGCGAGCAGGGCAUGGAGACCGUCGAGAAUAGCUACUUCAUAACGGAGGAGAACGUGGGCAUGCUCAAGCUCGCCAAGGAGUCCAACAGCAUCCUCUUCGACUACCGCAUCCCGCUCGCCGAGGCCGCAGCAUCGGAGAGCCACAAUAACGGCGGCAUGGUGAUGAACGGGCUGCCCAUCAGCAUCUACGCGCCAGAGACGGUGGGGUGCGCGGUGGUAGACUCGAGCGGCCACACGGCGGCGGCCACGUCCACGGGUGGGCUCAUGAACAAGAUGACGGGCCGCAUCGGCGACUCGCCGCUCAUCGGCGCCGGCACCUACGCGUGCGGGCACUGCGCCGUGUCAUGCACGGGCGAGGGCGAGGCCAUCAUCCGCUCCACGCUGGCGCGCGACGUGGCGGCCGUCAUGGAGUACAAGGGCCUGCCUCUCCAGGAGGCCGUGGACUUCUGCGUCAAGGAGCGGCUCGACGAGGGUUUCGCGGGCCUCAUCGCAGUCUCCGGCACCGGCGAGGUGGCCUACGGUUUCAACUGCACCGGCAUGUUCCGGGGCUGCGCCACCGAGGACGGAUCCAUGGAAGUCGGCAUCUGGGAGUAA
rnacentral:rRNA from 1 species